GUCACCUAGAUCUGAGAAUAGAGGAUAGAAAUUCGGAUCUUGCUCUUCUUGACCGAAGUGAGCGCUGCCGUCCUCCAUUGCGGCGGCUACGAUAACUGGGGAUACAGGAAGUAUGGAUCUUGGGGAGGGGAUGAACAACUUCGGCCAGAACUCAAUCCAAUCAGUGGGCGGAGCUGUUACUUUCACAGCUCUACUCAAUAUGGUUGCUAAGGACGCCGAGAUGAGCAAGUUCACCGUUGAUCCGAGCUCCCAAUUGAACGAAGAAAUGGUGCUGCGAGGUGGAGAAGACAACUUUAUAGAAAAGAACAUUAGCGAUAUCGAAACAAGAACUGGAGCUGACGUGGAUGAUGUGAUAUGGGAAGGAAAUGUGAACUUCAGUAUGGAGACUUCCAUACAGCCAGAAACAGAAUUAAACAGGAGGGAAUUGAAGUUUGGAUCACAAUUACCUAGCGAAUCAAUCGGAACAAGCUGUUUCGUCGACAGUUCCGUUAACUGUGCACUAGUUACUGCUCCGACGCUAUUUCGAACGCUUGCAUCUUCACAACUUUUGUUCACUUGUUAUCGAUGAGAUAAUGGAAUCAGCUAGAAGAGUUCAAGAUGAAUUAAGAAUGAAACACACAAUAAAGAAUGUUACAGGAUGUACACUUGCGCUGCAGGUACUAUACCUGGACAGCUUGGAUAUAUGUAAAUUCUCGCUACCUCGUGAUAAGUUACCGAGGAUUGCUCUCUUCGAUGUAGUAAUUCUUAAGAGGAUGAUAAAUGCAGAUCAGGAGAAUAAUAUAUCAUACUGCAACACGGAUACUUCAGGUGCCAGUGCUAUAAAUGACACAAAUUCGAGUAAGACAUUACGUUUCGACGAAAUUGCAGCAACGCCAAGUUCUACGUCUUCACAACAUGUACAGCUCCCGUACUUCAGAACACUUCAACCUGCAGUGUCAACUUAUUUGACUGCAUAUUUGAGAGGAUCGAUUGAGCAAAAGUUAUCUUAUGGUCAGGUUGAUGCAUUGAAGUGGCACAAUGCGCGUAUGAUACAUCAUGUUAGGAAGACUAAAGAGCUUUUGUUAGAAGGAGGUCCCAUUAACUUGAAUGAGGAAGGAAUUAAGUUAGUAAUUGAAGUCCACAUGGAGGCACUUAUGGCAAAUAUAUUCCAAGAUAAUCUCAGCCUGUCCCAAAAACUGCACACCCACGCAUCAACGAAUGUGGCAGGAGGUGUAAGCCAUUUGAAAGAAACAUCGUCACUCCAAGUUUCAUCUAACUACAGCAGCAUUAGAAGUGAACGGCCAAAGUUCAGUUGGAGGAUUAGCCGGUAAUGACAUGGGGGUACAGAAAAAAAAAGGUGGCAUGUUCACUCCUCUUUUAGGAAAGAAGCUAUUCCAUGAAGAAAGAGACACAAGUUCAAAAAGAAUAAAGGUAGAAAAGGACAUUCAUAAUUCGGUCGACCACCGGAAAUGUGAACCGUUCAUACUAUCUGAAGAUGAUAUAACUGCUAUCAUAGAGACUGGUUCAGGGAUUGCAAUGUGCCCAAGUGAUAACAAGUUGAAGGAUUGCAUGUUUAGCAAACUUAAAUGCAAGCAAAGAGGGUUUGCUCCAAAUCCGUGGAUGACUGGGCGCGGAAGAAGCGUGUCCCAAUACAUGUUACAAAUGACUUGUAUGACUGGCUUGCAAAUAACAAUUCAUCUACUCUUCGGAGGAACUGGAUUGUGCAUGCUCUGCCGAAGUACAUAGAACUAGAUGGCUAUCAACUUAAGGAUAUAUUCAUAAAGAGAAAAGGGUUCACUCCAGAAGCAUUUGAUAUAGCUCUUAGGAGAACAAUCCAACUGGAUAGUUCAAUGUAUGGCUCGGGAAAGAAAA